rnacentral:rRNA from 1 species
UACGUAGGCAGCAAGCGUUGUUCGGAAUUACUGGGCGUAAAGAGUGUGUAGGCGGUGCUCCAAGUCUGGUGUGAAAUCUCCCGGCUCAACUGGGAGGGUGCGCUAGAAACUGGAAUGCUAGAGUUCGGUAGGGGAGACUGGAAUUCCUGGUGUAGCGGUGAAAUGCGCAGAUAUCAGGAGGAACACCGGUGGCGAAGGCGGGUCUCUGGGCCGAUACUGACGCUGAGGAGCGAAAGCGUGGGGAGCAAACAGG